CAGUAGCCGCGGGAAUACGUAGGUGGCAAGCGUUGUCCGGAAUUAUUGGGCGUAAAGGGCUCGCAGGCGGUUUCUUAAGUCUGAUGUGAAAGCCCCCGGCUCAACCGGGGAGGGUCAUUGGAAACUGGGAAACUUGAGUGCAGAAGAGGAGAGUGGAAUUCCACGUGUAGCGGUGAAAUGCGUAGAGAUGUGGAGGAACACCAGUGGCGAAGGCGACUCUCCGGUCUGUAACUGACGCUGAGGAGCGAAAGCGUGGGGAGCGAACAGGAUUAGAUACCCGUGUAGUCCCUGUCUCUUAUAC
rnacentral:rRNA from 1 species